UGAAUGGUGUAAAAUCGAUUG
rnacentral:siRNA from 1 species